AGUGGUUUUAAAGCUGUGUAGUAUGUGUCUGAAAAUAUUAUAAAUCAUGUUUAAUGUCCUCUUAUCACUUCUCAUCAGUGAAGAGGUAGAUAAAAGUGAUGCAAAAUUACUAGUCAACUUUGGAAAUACAAAAAUCAGCUGUUGAAAGUAAAUUUGAUUAAUCUUCAGAAAAACAACAGUGGGUAUUUCCAGCUCUACCUAGGGAUUUGUGAAAUGUUCUAAUUACAUGGAGAAUAUGGUAUAAGAAUUAGCUAAUCUUAGAAUCACAGAAUUUUACCAGUAGAACAGAUGGCCUAAGAGAUCUGACUCCAUUAUUUUAUAACUGAGGAAAUGGAGGCCUUGUCCAAAGGAGUGGCUUAUUUGAAAUUGCACAGCUGGUUAAUGAAGAGCCCAGAUCCAGCCAUAAUUCCUGUCUCUCAGAGAAGUUUCCCCUCCCAUUCUGCUAGUACAGCCCCAUAUGCCAAUUCCCAGCAGCUGGAACUCCUCUGACAGAGGGACAAGGCCUUUAGCAUAACUGUGCCUGAGCAAAAUCCAUCCAGUCGAUUUUUCCUUUCUCCCUGCAGGCCUUCACCUAAGCUUUCCCCUGCUAUGGUCCUACUUAUUCCUUCCUCACUGAGGCAUUCCAGUCCUUAACCUAAUCCCUCAAUGAGUCCGUAGUGGCCACUCACAAGUCGGACCCAUUAACCAGGCCAAUAUGCUCAGCUAGAGACCUAAAUAAAAUUUCCCAUACGGUUUCAGUAUGGUCAACAAAGAUUAUCCCCCAGCCUGGGAUUCUUGAACCCCAUGGUAAACAACUGGCAUGAGGUUCAACUUGAGAAACCUUUUAAAAAUGUUUAGAGGCCCCUUUUAUUUUUUCCAUUGAGACUGAAACUAACUGAAUGAACAUCAAUGGUCAAAAUGCAUAUUCUUAUGAUUUAGGUCAUACGACCUAUUUUAUUAAGUAGAAGAGCAUUUUUAAGAAAACGAUUUUAACCAACAAAAUAUUAGUAUCUGGGCACAUUUGAGAUGAAUACAGCUUUGUAAUCUUUCAUCCAUAAAUGAAAUCACUAGCCACGUCUUAAAGUCAGACAGUCCUACAGAUACAAAUUAUUUAUCAUUACCAAUCUACAGAGGAUCUCGGUACCAGAUAUGAGAAGGCAGCCUUGGAGCAGCUGAGCGGUAGAUAAGGACAGAUAGAAUCUUCAUACAUGCACAGAAUCUACCUUGCUGGGCAUUUCAUAUUCUGUAAACCUGAAUAGGGACAAAAUAAAAGGUUGUGAACCCCUAUUCAUGAUAGCCCAUGAAGGGCUUCAGCUUUAACACUUAAUGAAUCCAUCUAACAAGAUAUACCUGCUCCUUCAUCUUAUUCAUUUUUCAAGCUAAUGUCUUAUUGGACCUUAGAUAAAACACACACACACACACAAAGAGCAGCAAAGUCAUCCAAUAUAGAGAAACAAAGGAAGGACAGAAUGUCAACAGACAUUGUAAAGUUUCAUUUGGCACAUGCACAAAAAGUCAUUGUCCCAGCCAGGUGACCAUAUGCCUAUAACAUGGCAGAGCUGUUCUCUGGGCACCAAUCCAGGGCUUCAGCUACCACUUUCUAAUUUGGAUUAAUAAUUCAUUGUAUUACCUGAAAAGGUUGCAAUAAAAAAUAUCAUGUCACCUGAACCAUAUGGAAUCGCCCAUCCCAAGUUACACACUGUUUUCAGUGUGGUCUUGUGAAAUGAGUCUUCACUUUAUCCUGACUGUGGUAAUACACAGUCACUCCAUGAGAAUGCAAAAAGCAGCAUCUAUUGAGGGUGACAUGGCUACAGGUUCCGUAAGGAAGAAAAGGAAAGAAGAGAGGAAAUGAGGAUGAUAAGAAGGGAAAUCAAUAUGUGUAGAGGCCUACCAUGUGCCAAGCAUACUGAGAACACACAAUCCUUAUGACAGUUCUGUAAGCAGGUAAUGGUACUGCCAUUGGAGAGAUGAGAAGACUAAAAUUUAGGAAAGGUAACUAAAUUACCCAUAUUCAGUCAUCUAGUUGGAAAGACUCCAAAUUCUUCAUGGAAAUGACCAGCUGAAUGGGCAAAGAAACAUACCUGAAUAAAAGAAAACCUAGAAAAUAGCUCCUAGGCAAUAUAUGAGCAGAUAUUUGAUGUGUGAGACAAAUUGAAUGCACAAGACCUGAGGACAUUUCAAAUAAUAUUAAUCAACUAGUAUUAGGAAGAAUUAGUCAGAACGCUUCAUGGAGAUGGGACUUGACAUGGCUCCAAAGCUUCCGCACUUAAAAUAAUGAGUCUCUCUGUAUGUAAAUACUGACCUAAUUCCUGAAGCUGAGGAACUCUGGAUGAGUGUGAAACUUAAAAGUAUUUGAUUUUGGACAGGAGGAGAUUCAGGCUGGCCAGAGUAAAAGGCUGAAGAUUGCAUCUCUCUUCUCUGUGAGGAGGGAGGAAGGAAGCAGAGAGGAGAGCUUCCUCUUCCAGCAGAAGCCCCUCCAGCUGGUUGAUAGAUCACAUCUGCAAUAAAAGGCAUCUUUUAUGUUCUUACUUCACCAAUAGGAGUUCCUGUCAUGGCUCAGUGGUUAACGAACUCAGCUAGUAUCCAUGAGGAUGCGGGUUCGAUCCCUGGCCUCACUCAGUGGGUUAAGGAUCACAGCAUUGCCAUGAGCUGUGGUAUAGUUUGCAGACGAGGCUUGGAUCUGGCAUCGUUGUGGCUGUGGCAUAGGCCAGCAGCUAUAGCUCCCAUUCGACCCCUUGCCUAGGAACCUCCAUAUGCUGGGCAUUUUUAUUUUUUAAAUUUUAUUAUUAUUUGUCUUUUUGUAUUUUUAGGGCCGCACCCAUGUAUAUGGAGGUUCCCAGGCUAAGGGUCCAAUCGGAGCUGUAGCUGACGGCCUACACCACAGCCACAACAAUGCAGGAUCCAAGCCGGUCUGCAAUCUAUACCACAGCUCACGGCAACACCGGAUCCUUAAUCCACUGAGAGAGGGCAGGGUUCGAACCCUCAACCUCAUGGUUCCUAGUUGGAUUCCUUUCUGCUGCGCCAGGACAGGAACUUCCGAAGCAGCAUUUUUAAUAAAAAUGUGCAUAUGCAAUCACUAAAGUCAUGACAAUGAUGAUUUUAUACCUUAUAAUGUACAGCACUAUAAUUCUCUUAAAGAACUUUCAUAGAGGAGUCCCCUCUUAUCCUCAGGGGAUACAUUUCAAGACUCGUAGCAGUAGGUGUGUAAAACCAGGGAUAGUCCAAACCCUGUCACUUUAGUUUUGGUCCAUACUUAAAUGAUUUUGGCGCUAGUCUUUCAAAAUAUCCAUCAUCAUAUUGCAAAACUUCAAUGUCCUCUUGGAUGAUUUAUCUCAUUGCCUAAAGUCCUAGGUUCAUAGUUCUUCAAUCUCCUAAAAUCUAAGGAUCUUAACCUUGCAUUUUCUGAAUCUUAUCAACCAUGGAACUCUUUGAUUUCAAAACCCUAGGAUUCUAAUAUUAGUCUCUGACCACUACCUUCAGAUUCCUGCCAACCUGUACACAUGAACAGACAUCAAACAGAAACAGCAAAUUCAACAUAUCUAAGUAAUAACUGCUUAGAACCUGAACUAAGGUUGUGCCUCAGGCACCGCUCCAGCCCAUGCACCCUGUCCUGACCUUCUUGCUCGCCUCCCUGACAAGGAGCAGCAGCAGGUCCACACCAACUCCAGCUCCCCUCCUUUAGAUUUUCUGGGUCCUAGAACAGGCACAUGUGCUACAACUUGUGAAAGGCACCAGCUUCCUCUUUAGGUGGCUCAUGUUGCCAAUUAGAUGCUACAAGAUCAAACAGGGUUCCCUUCUAUAACAUGAGUUCCAGUUUGUCUCCUCAGAUUCCAUUUUGUCCCCAUGGGUCCCAGUUCAGCUUUCCUUCCCCUAUUUCAGGUCAAAUUUCUCUCCCAACUACAUGUCCUACUUCAGACCCAUCACCAUGUGCAGAGAGGCCUUCCAGAAAUUACUUCCCAGUUCCUCUUCAGGAUGAUUAGCAACUUUUUCUGAUCCUUCCACCAUCACAUUUGGGACCUUUGUGUCUCUAGAUUCUCCCACAGAUUUGUACAAUCUAAUUCUUGUAAUAAAUCUAGUCUCUAUCAUUCAUAGUGGUUCUCCUUCCCUGAUCUGCAACCUAGACACCAGAAUAGAGGCUUUUGUACAAAAUUCUAAGUCCUUUCUAUGGGGGAGAAAACAAAGUCUUAAAUGCAAAAGAAUCCAAAUCAGAAGAAAUUUUUAUAUUCUUAAACGUGUCUAAAAAAUUCUGAUUUGCUUGGAAAUAAAAGAAAGAGCAGGACUGAAAAACUAGGUGCUAGCCAUGGUUUUUAAUAGUGCCACAUCACUUAAGGAUGGUAUUUAUACCUAUUAACAUGCCUUUCUCUCCUUUCCAGAUAAAAUCCAAGAGACAGUGAUUUAACCUAAUUGAAAUAAUAAUUGAAAUAAUCGCUAACUGAAAUAAACAGAAUCACAAAUGAUUGUCUACUAAUUGGUCUUAUGCUUUCCACCACCAACUUCAAUCAAACAAUGCAUAGGAGAUUUCAGUACAAAAUAGAAGUUUAAGCCCAUUUAUUUAUUCAGCUUCUCUUCCUCUGUAGACCCCGAUAAGACUAUAGUAAAGCAUCUAAAAUUAUAAAAACAACAAUUAAAAGAACAGGAGGAGGACAAUCCACAAACAAGUACUUUGACACAUUUCUGGAAUAUGGAAAUUUGGAAAGAAUAUUUUCAGCUACAGCUGUAGCCUGAAAUAAAAAAAAGAGAGGGGGGCUGCAACAGAAAGGACAAACAACCGGUC
ensembl:lncRNA